ACGAGGGCCCCGCGGCGCAGGUGAAUGAGCCCCCUCGCAGAGCUCGUCCACUGAGCUGCAUAGAGGGUGGCAGGAUGGACAAAUGGCUUCAGACACUAGAGAGACUCCAAUCACGUCGGCUUCAGAAUCAAAUACCUCCGUUUGUGGACAGGACGAUAUCAAUGCCAGUUCCCUCGAAUGAGACAGCGGGAAGUAACCCACUGUGUCCUGAUGUUUCCUCUCUGCGCAGGAGGAAUCAGACCCCUAGCGUCUGUCCCAGAGUGAGUGAAAGCUCCUCGAGCAGUCUGGAGUCUGUUCACAUUAAAGCUGCUCCCGCUGCAGAAAGAGCUCAGUUCUGCGCUCUCGCUCCAGUUCACUUCGGCUGGCUGCCCAUACAAAGACAUGUGAUACUGACAGACAUCUGUCAUAACCACCAUGACAACAGUAGGUGCCAGCAGAAACUGAAGUCUCCCAUCACUCCAGUGUUGCUCAGCACUCCUGCCAAACUUAAUGGACCAAGACCAAAUGGCUUCGGGAUCCGUGAGCACUGAGGGAGGACGAAAUGGACCACAAGCCUGGAAUCCGAAAGCCGAGAUAGACACAUGCCACGCUGGACCACAUCCCAUGUUGAGAAAUCCCACAUGCAGGCGUGGAAGUGCGCCGGAGUCCUUCAGCUCCUCGAUAUCAUCCAUCACUAUCACUUCCAGGAAGGUCACGCACACAAACUCCAGGCCUCUGAGUCCAGCGAUGAAUAGCCUCGCCGAUGGACACAGAAAAGCUUUAGUGGUCAAAGUCACUGAACAGAGGACGAAAAGCACUUCCAGUCUGCCCAUCGCCUCGACCUCUGGCUCUGAUCAUGAAGAGAUGGACCAUGGUGUGGUCCUGAGAAGAAAGGCAACCAUUGUGAAAAUGACCGAACAGAGAGAGCGUUUCAGUCCAGUGAAAUACAGACACAGCUACACUGAAGG
ensembl:lncRNA